rnacentral:rRNA from 1 species
AACGAACGCUGGCGGCAUGCCUAACACAUGCAAGUCGAACGAGAUCCUUCGGGGUAGUGGCGCACGGGUGCGUAACGCGUGGGAAUCUGCCCUUAGGUUCGGAAUAACAGUUAGAAAUGACUGCUAAUACCGGAUGAUGACGUUAAGUCCAAAGAUUUAUCGCCUGAGGAUGAGCCCGCGUAGGAUUAGCUAGUUGGUGUGGUAAAGGCGCACCAAGGCGACGAUCCUUAGCUGGUCUGAGAGGAUGAUCAGCCACACUGGGACUGAGACACGGCCCAGACUCCUACGGGAGGCAGCAGUGGGGAAUAUUGGACAAUGGGCGCAAGCCUGAUCCAGCAAUGCCGCGUGAGUGAUGAAGGCCUUAGGGUUGUAAAGCUCUUUUACCCGGGAUGAUAAUGACAGUACCGGGAGAAUAAGCCCCGGCUAACUCCGUG